GCUCAGUGAGUUAAGCCUCUGCCUUCGGCUCAGGUCAUGAUCUCAGGGUCCUGGGAUCGAGCCCUGCAUUGGGCUCUCCACUCAGCGGGGAGCCUUCUUCCCCUUCUCUCUCUCUGUCUGCCUCUCUGCCUACUUGUAAUCUCUGUCUGUCAAAUAAAUAAAUAAAAUCUUUGGAGGGGGGGAAAGGAAUAGAGUUUCCAAAUGCUGAUGAUUGUAUAGGGAUUUUUUUUUUUUGAGAGGGGGAGUGGGUGCUGAUAAAAUGGUUAUACUAUAUCCUUGCUUAGGCUGUCUCUAAUGUCUAAUGUCUAAUAUCUCUUGUCAUUCUGUGGUAUCUAGGGAUGGUGGAGGAACUGGACUGGUUUCUUCUCUGUCACCUCUCUGUCUCUGUGAAAGGACCAAAAUGGAAGAUGGGGACACACUUGGCUUCUGUAGCAUCAGGAAGUAGAAACCAGUUAAGGCUGGUACUAACUGUGACCAAGAACAGCUUAGCCUUGGGCUAUGGGUUCCAGAGCUUCAAGCACCCAUAGAAUUUCCU
rnacentral:lncRNA from 1 species